CAUGCGAGGUUGGUUUAGUUAAGUCAGAUGUAGAAACGGCCCGGGGCUACAACCGUACGGUAAUUGACUAUUUAGAAACGUGGACAAACUAGAGUACUGUAGGAGGGGGUAGAAUUUCAGGUGUAGCGGUGAAAUGCGUAGAGAUCUGAAGGAAUACCGGUGGCGAAGGCGGCCCCCUGGACAGAUACUGACACUCAGAUGACGAAAGCGUGGGGAGCAAACAGGAUUAGAUACCCUGGUAG
rnacentral:rRNA from 1 species